CGCACCAUGGCGGGCGAGCAAGAGGCGAUUGAUCCUAGCUGCGGGUGCUGGAGAGAUGGCGUCAGCCCUAGGCAGAAUGGACUGGAGGAUGGGUGGACAUCCCAGGGAUUUUGCUAGGUUUCUGCACUACGGGGACCUGGCUGAGUUGCGGAUGGAGCUCUAUAGCUCACCAGGCUGGUGGGGAGAAUGAGGAGGACCGUGGCCUCCUGACGGCAUCUCAUCAUUCCUCUGCAGCCCAAGGGCAAAGUGGGCACGAGAGGGAAGAAGCAGAUAUUUGAAGAGAACAGAGAGACUCUGAAGUUCUACCUGCGGAUCAUACUGGGGGCCAAUGCCAUUUACUGCCUUGUGACGUUGGUCUUCUUUUACUCAUCUGCCUCAUUUUGGGCCUGGUUGGCCCUGGGCUUUAGUCUGGCAGUGUAUGGGGCCAGCUACCACUCUAUGAGCUCGAUGGCACGAGCAGCGUUCUCUGAGGAUGGGGCCCUGAUGGAUGGUGGCAUGGACCUCAACAUGGAGCAGGG
rnacentral:lncRNA from 1 species